UGGGGAAUUUUGGACAAUGGGCGAAAGCCUGAUCCAGCAAUGCCGCGUGCGUGAAGAAGGCCUUCGGGUUGUAAAGCACUUUUGUCCGGAAAGAAAUCCUUGGCUCUAAUACAGUCGGGGGAUGACGGUACCGGAAGAAUAAGCACCGGCUAACUACGUGCCAGCAGCCGCGGUAAUACGUAGGGUGCAAGCGUUAAUCGGAAUUACUGGGCGUAAAGCGUGCGCAGGCGGUUUGCUAAGACCGAUGUGAAAUCCCCGGGCUCAACCUGGGAACUGCAUUGGUGACUGGCAGGCUAGAGUAUGGCAGAGGGGGGUAGAAUUCCACGUGUAGCAGUGAAAUGCGUAGAGAUGUGGAGGAAUACCGAUGGCGAAGGCAGCCCCCUGGGCCAAUACUGACGCUCAUGCACGAAAGCGUGGGGAGCAAACAGGAUUAGAUACCCUGGUAGUCCACGCCCUAAACGAUGUCAACUAGUUGUUGGGGAUUCAUUUCCUUAGUAACGUAGCUAACGCGUGAAGUUGACCGCCUGGGGAGUACGGUCGCAAGAUUAAAACUUAAAUGAAUUGACGGGGU
rnacentral:rRNA from 1 species